UACGAGGGGGGCAAAUGUUGUUCGGAAUCACUGGGCGUAAAGGGCGCGUAGGCGGCUUGGCAAGUGGAAGGUGAAAUCCCUCGGCUUAACCGAGGAACUGCCCUCCAAACUGCUUCGCUUGAGACCGGGAGAGGUGAGUGGAAUUCCCAGUGUAGCGGUGAAAUGCGUAGAUAUUGGGAGGAACACCAGUGGCGAAGGCGGCUCACUGGACCGGUACUGACGCUGAUGCGCGAAAGCGUGGGGAGCAAACAGG
rnacentral:rRNA from 1 species